rnacentral:rRNA from 1 species
AACGAACGCUGGCGGCAUGCCUAACACAUGCAAGUCGAACGAGAUCUUCGGGUCUAGUGGCGCACGGGUGCGUAACGCGUGGGAAUCUGCCCUUUGGUUCGGAAUAACAGUUGGAAACGACUGCUAAUACCGGAUGAUGACGAAAGUCCAAAGAGUUAUCGCAAGAGGAUGAGACUGGGUAGGAUUAGCUAGUUGGUGUGGUAAAGGCGCACCAAGGCGACGAUCCGUAGCCGGUCUGAGUGGAUGCACAGCCAAACUGGGACUGAGACACGGCCGGAACACCUACGNNGGGCAGCAGUUGGANAUAUUGGACAAUGGGCGAAAGCCUAAUCCAGCAAUGGCGCGUGAGUGAUGAAGGCCUUAGGGUUGUAAAGCUCUUUUACCCGGGAUGAUAAUGACAGUACCGGGAGAAUAAGCUCCGGCUAACUCCGUGCCAGCCGCCGCAGUAA